CUGGUUGAUCCUGCCAGUAGUCAUAUGCUUGUCUUAAAGAUUAAGCCAUGCAUGUCUAAGUAUAAGCACUUGUACGGCGAAACUGCGAAUGGCUCAUUAAAUCAGUUAUAGUUUAUUUGAUAGUACUUACUACUUGGAUAACCGUGGUAAAUCUAGAGCUAAUACAUGCGUAAAGCCCCGACUUUGGAAGGGGUGUAUUUAUUAGAUUAAAACCAAUGCGGUCUUCUUUCGGGGAGGUCGGUUGUAUGGUGAUUCAUGAUAACUUUGCGAAUCGUAUGGCCUUGCGCCGACGAUGUUUCAUUCAAAUAUCUGCCCUAUCAACUUUCGAUGGUAGUAUAGAGGACUACCAUGGUGUUAACGGGUAACGGAGGAUCAGGGUUUGAUUCCGGAGAAGGAGCCUGAGAAACGGCUACUACUUCCAUGGAAGGCAGCAGGCGCGCAAAUUACCCAAUCCCGACACGGGGAGGUAGUGACAAUAAAUAACAAUACCGGUCUUUAUAAGACUGGUAAUUGGAAUGAGUACAAUCUAAACCCCUUAACGAGUAUCAAUUGGAGGGCAAGUCUGGUGCCAGCAGCCGCGGUAAUUCCAGCUCCAAUAGCAUAUAUUAAAGUUGUUGCAGUUAAAAAGCUCGUAGUUGGAUUUUGGAAUCAGAGGGGCUCGGUCCGCCAGGAAUGGUGUGUACUGGUUCUUCGGUUCUCCCUACUGGAUACUCGCGACUGCACUUUACUGGGUGGUCGUUUCAUUGCCGCGAGGUGGUGGAUGCGGGGAGGGUCUGACGCACGGGAUGUGGAUGCAUUACGCUUCGGUGUGGUGUGUUCUGCCUGGGUGGCUUCCUUUUCGUAGGGUUCCAGUUUGUUUACUUUGAGUAAAUUAGAGUGUUCAAAGCAGGCGUUUUGCCUUGAAUACUAUUAGCAUGGGAUAAUGGAACAGGACGUUGGUUCUAUUUUGUUGGUUUCUAGAACUAAUGUAAUGAUUAAAAGGGAUAGUUGGGGGCAUUAGUAUUUAAUUGUCAGAGGUGAAAUUCUUGGAUUUAUGAAAGACUAACUUCUGCGAAAGCAUUUGUCAAGGAUGUUUUCAUUAAUCAAGAACGAAAGUUAGGGGAUCGAAGACGAUCAGAUACCGUCGUAGUCUUAACCAUAAACUAUGCCGACCAGGGAUUGGGAGAYGUUUUUUGAUGACUCCCCCAGCACCUUACGAGAAAUCACAAGUCUUUGGGUUCUGGGGGGAGUAUGGUCGCAAGGCUGAAACUUAAAGGAAUUGACGGAAGGGCACCACCAGGAGUGGAGCCUGCGGCUUAAUUUGACUCAACACGGGAAAACUUACCAGGUCCAGACACAGUUAGGAUUGACAGAUUGAGAAGCUCUUUCAUGAUUCUGUGGGUGGUGGUGCAUGGCCGUUCUUAGUUGGUGGAGUGAUUUGUCUGGUUAAUUCCGAUAACGAACGAGACCUCAGCCUGCUAAUUAGUUAUGCGAGUCUCUACGCUUGGGAGGUGUGCGGUACGCCGGCAACGGAACGCCGUACACAUCCUGUUCUGACUCGUAGUUAACUUCUUAGAGGGACACUUGGUGUCUAACCAAGGGAAGUUUGAGGCAAUAACAGGUCUGUGAUGCCCUUUAGAUGUUCUGGGCUGCACGCGCGCUACACUGAUGCAAUCAACAAGUCCUUCUCCUUGGCCGAAAGGUCUGGGUAAACUUUUGAAAUUGCAUCGUGCUGGGGAUCGAUAAUUGUAAUUAUUUAUCGUCAACGAGGAACUCCUAGUAAGCGCAAGUCAUCAGCUUGCGUUGAUUACGUCCCUGCCCUUUGUACACACCGCCC
rnacentral:rRNA from 1 species